UACGGAGGGUGCAAGCGUUAUCCGGAAUCAUUGGGUUUAAAGGGUCCGCAGGCGGAUUUAUAAGUCAGUGGUGAAAGCCUACAGCUUAACUGUAGAACUGCCAUUGAUACUGUAAGUCUUGAAUUUGGUCGAAGUGGGCGGAAUAUGACAUGUAGCGGUGAAAUGCAUAGAUAUGUCAUAGAACACCGAUAGCGAAGGCAGCUCACUAGGCCAACAUUGACGCUCAUGGACGAAAGCGUGGGGAGCAAACAGG
rnacentral:rRNA from 2 species